GGGAGAGGAAGGGGACGGACCUAUUCUGCUGUCUGGGACAGAGAGAAAGUGAUUCCCAGCAAGCCAGCUCCUGUUAAAGAAACAAAACAAAACUAUGCACGGACUGGCCUGGCUGUGAGGUCGCGGUGUCGCCGUCCAGCUUAAAGCUCACGGAAAAGCGUGAAGUUGAACCCAUAUCACAUAAAUAGAAUAUCAUCUUUGAAGAGUGUAUAGCGCAGGAAAGCAAGAGCAAUGUAGGCAACACUCUCCCCUGAACUGUCUUUAAAAAAAUAAAUAAGUAAAGUAUUCCUUGUUUUGGAAAAUGUGCUGCGAUUUAAAAAGGAGAUUUUUGCUCCUCUAUGCAACACAAAAGGGACAGGCAAAAGCCAUAGCUGAGGAAAUAUGUCUGCAAGCAGGUGCCCAUGGACUUGAAGCUGACAUGCACUGUUUAAGUGAGAUGGACAAGUACAACUUGGAAACAGAAAAGGAUCCUGUAGUUAUUGUCAUUUCCACGACUGGUACCGGCGACCCACCGGACACUGCCCGCAAGUUUGUUAAGAAAAUCCGGGAUAAGACCUUGCCUCCUGAUCAUUUGGCACAUCUUCAGUACGGAUUGUUAGGUCUGGGAGACUCAGAGUACACGUUCUUUUGUAACGGUGGAAAGACAGUAGACCGACUACUUCAAGAACUCGGUGCCCAGCAUUUCUAUGAUACAGGAUUAGCAGAUGAUUGUGUAGGAUUGGAACUAGUGGUUGAUCCUUGGAUUGAUGGACUUUGGCUUGCCCUCAAGGAAGUAUUUCUGUUGCAGAAAGAAAAAGAAGGCAUGAGCAACGAUGUCAGUGCAGACUCACAUGUUGGACAUGAAAUGAACUUAAGCUCAAAAAUACAGAAUUUGAAUUUAGAAGAUGGAGUGAGGAGUUCUGAUGGUCCAUCACAUAAAUUGGUUGACAUCAAUGUUGUGGCUUCAGCUACAAACACUGAACCUUCACUUGUUCACUCAGUCCCUCCCAUCUCUCAGUCUGCUCUUAAUAUUCCUGCCCUGCCACCAGAGUAUAUAGAGGUUCAGUUUCAGGACACCCAUGGGGAGAAUCCUCAUCUGUCCUCACUGAUUUCAGAAGGAACAACCUUCGAAGUGCCAGUUACAAAGGCAUCUCAGCUCACUAGAGAAGAUGCAGUAAAAACUGCAUUGCUUUUAGAACUUGAUAUUGCAAGUACAGCCUUUGAUUACCAACCUGGAGAUGCUUUCUGUGUAAUAUGUCCCAAUAAUGUCAAUGAGGUGGAAGAACUACUUCACAUCUUGGGACUUUCUGAAAAAGGAGAGAAUUUUGUUUGUAUAAAGGUUAAGCAGGACACUAAAAAAAAAGGAGCAACACGUCCACAACACAUCCCUGAGAGAAGUACUCUGAAGUUCAUUCUAACCUGGUGUCUGGAACUAAGAGCAAUUCCCAAAAAGGCAUUUUUGCGAGCCCUUGUAGAAUGCACCAGUAAUGCAGGAGAAAAACGGAGGCUUCAGGAGCUCUGCAGCAAACAAGGAGCCUCUGACUACGUUCAUUUUAUUAGAGAGUCUAAUGUUUGCUUGCUGGAUUUACUUCGUGCUUUUCCAAGCUGCAAGCCUUCACUUAACCUGUUAAUUGAACAUCUCCCUAAAUUACAGGCCAGAUCCUAUUCAGUUUCAAGUUCAAACUUGUAUCAGCCAGGAAAACUGUGUUUUGUGUUUAAUAUUGUGGAGUUUCCUGCCUGUCCCACGAGACCUGUCUUACGGAAGGGAGUUUGUACAGGCUGGCUUGCUGAGUUAGUUGCACCUCUACUGCACACCAAUAAAGACACGCAGGAUAUAAAAAGAGAAAGUUCUCCAACUGAAAAGAUAUCUAUUUUUGCUCGUCCAAACAAUACUUUUCACUUACCUUCAGACCCAUCUGUCCCUUUUGUGAUGGUUGGUCCAGGAACGGGAAUAGCACCAUUUAUUGGUUUCCUGCAACAUAGGCAGAAACUGAGAGAAGAACAUACAGACUGGGAAUUUGGAGAGACAUGGCUCUUCUUUGGUUGUCGGCAUCAGGAUAGAGAUUAUUUAUUCAAAGAUGAGCUCAGAUGUUUUCUUGAAAAUGGGACAUUAACUCAUCUGAAGGUUUGUUUCUCAAGAGACUCUUCAACAGCAGAAGUAGCUCAGCCUAAGUAUGUGCAAGAUGUCAUUAGGCUUUAUGCAAAGGAAGUUGCCAGAGUCCUGCUGAAAGAGAGUGGUUACUUCUAUGUAUGUGGAGAUAAGAAGCACAUGGCUGAUGAUGUAAGUGAUGCUUUAUUGGACAUUUUAAGUACAGAAAUGGAAGUUGACAAAUUGGAAGCAAUGAAAACCAUGGCCAUGCUUCGAGAAGCAAAACGUUACUUGCAGGAUGUUUGGAGCUAAGCAUUUAGCUUUUUCUGUGUCAUUGUAAGACAAAAGAUUUUGCUUUGCUUUCACGUUUAUGCUUUUAAUUAGAAUCAUCAAAAGUGCCAUUGUCAUGCACAUUUUAACUUCCUCUGCUGAUCUUUCACUUAGGAAUGUGAAGCCUUUUCAAGGAUGGCAAACCAGUCUGUCUUCGAAAUGUAUUGUUUUUAGCAACAUUGCAUAAUGGACUGUAUCAGUACCUUGGUUCUCUGACUUUUGAGAUUGCUUUCAUGUAGAAAGUGAGAACUUAACUGUACAAGUGUAAUUGUAUGUUUGUUACAUCACAUUUUUUCCUAUAAUUUAUACAUAAAGAAGCUACAAAGUAAAUAUGUUAUUCAACUGUACACCAUCAAAUACAUUAAUGACUUGCACACUAUUUGGACAAGAGGGAAUGGCCUCAAGUUGCACUGAGGGAGGUUCAGGUUGGAUAUUAGGAAAAAUUGAUUCUCCAGAAGAAUGGUCAGAUGCUGGAAUGGGCUGCACAGGGAGGUGAUUGAGUCACCAUCCCUGAAGAUGUUCAAGAAAUGUUUAGAUGUUGUACUAAAGGACAUGGUUUAGUAGGAAAUAUUGGUGGUGAGUGAACAGUUGGACUGGAUGGUCUUGGAGGUCUUUUCCAAGCUUGGUGAUUCUAUGAGUCUGCACACGUCUAUGUUUUCCUUUUUCUCGAACAAUAACUGCCAAAAGGAAUAAAGGUCGAGAGUACUGCACAAAAACCUGCUGCAGAAUAUCAACUCUGAACUAUUUUUUUUAAAAUUCCUCUAAUUUUUCAUUUUCUCAUUCAUAUAUCUUGAAGUUUUGCUACACUGCUAAUCCUUAUUAAAAUUCCUUGAACAAUUUUUUGAAGUUUUUUUUCAUUCUUAUCGCUAAAAUAUGAGUAGUUUAAUUUGUGGGAAAAAUCUCCAGUUGGGUUGAAUGUGAUUCCUUAGUAAAAACUUCAUCAAAUUGCUAAAGUAGUAUUUUUUUGUAUUUUAAUUUGAAAGUAUAAUGAAAUGAUGUGUUUUAAAGCAGUUUCACUCUCUGAAGGCAAUCCAUUUUAUAAAUCAAGGUGUUGAAAUCAAAUGGUUGAAAUACCCAGCCUUUUUCCUUCCUACGAGGACUAUUUGGAAUAUAGGACUGUCUGCAAACAGAUGUAAAAGUGCAAGGCAUUCAUACUUCUCUUCAGAACAAACUGUUGUUUGAAAUGUAGGCAUUUGAUUUAUGAAUAAGUUCUCUGCCCGUACUAGUUGUUGGUGGUGAGUAUUUCAGUGGCCUGCAGAAGUUUCCAUGUCUUCUCAUUAGAUGUUCUUUGGUGUUCCAUGUGUUCAUUGCGGUUGUUCAUACUGCUGUGUAGAGCUGAAGAUACAUGGAAUGUGGAAGAUUUACUGGCAUAUGCCCAAACCACUUGUGAACUAUUCCAUUAACUGGUGCCUUACUGCACUAGUGGUUACACUAAAGACUCUGAAGAACCUGUUUUGGAACCAUCCCUGAAUGUUAUGUGAACACUUAUUCAGCAGUUGCAGCAUAUGCUGGAUGAUAGUAAUUACUGUUGCUAAAUAAAGACAUAGUGCACUGUCACACAAACCCUACAGAUAACAUACAGUGUAUGUUUUAUUUACAUCUAAUUGUCUAGCCUUGCUAGUACUACUUCCCAGAUUAUAGCUAAAGCAGUGGCCAUAGUGGAUCUCAUUUCAGAUGCCUGUACUGAAAGACUGCAUGCUUUUUAAAAACUUUGUCAAUACCAUACCAUAAAUAACUUCAGGUGUAUCUAAUAUAAAGAUGAUGUGCUGGAAUGAACAAGUUCUAAAGACUGCCAUCUGUAUAUAGAAGUACAUUCUGCUUAAAUAACUCUGAGUAUUCAGUCUGUUAUUCUGUAGGCAGUUUGUGGGGGGGGGCAGCAUAAAGCAACACUUGAAGCAAACACAGAUGAAACGCUUAAUGCUCUAUUGAGCUUUAUCAGUUCAAAAGAGGAUGCUUUCUUGCAACUUUUAUAUGCUGUAAUGUAAAUACAGGUAUUCUCAUUGCAUAUUUAUGCAUUUAGCAAUUUGGUAUGUUGAUGAUCUUAAACAAUUUUGUAGCAACUCAUAUUUGCAUGGCUUCUUCUACCGUUGUAUGGAAAGCCUGAUGGUUUACAUAACUGAUCAGUGAUGAGUUGAGAGGUGAAUCUGCAUUGCAGACUGGUGCAGACAAUUGGUUUGAGUCUAAAAAUGGGGCUAGUUGAUACAGUGGUCUAAUAUAAGAGCUGUAGAUUAUUUUAAUGAAUCUAAAGAGUCCAUUGAAGAAAAUUGAUAUAUAUAAGAAUGAUCAAUUUUAUUGUCUAUCAUAAAUGAAAAUACCUUGUUGGCAAAAGCAGUAUGUCUGUUUAGUCUCAAAAUCCUAUUCAAGUGCAUUUCAUAUUGGAAAAAAUUGGAGUUUUAUACAACUGCAAAUUGCAGUCUUGAGAAGUUGAUUCAGCACCCAUACAAAUUACAUUUACUUUCAUUAGCAUUUGAAUAAAUGCUCCAAUUUUGCUGGAAAAGAUUUGUCAAAUUCACAGAGCAUUCAAAGCCAAUUGUGCUUUUUUAAAAAGAAUAGGUUUUACAAGUGGUUUAAAAACAGUAAUUCUGUAUGACUCAGUCAUUCAGGGAUAUUCAUUUCUAAGCUGCUUUGAACUGUAUUGCUUAGAUGAUUGACUGGACUUUUUUUUUUUUUUUUUUAAUGCAUUUUAUGCUAACUUGGUAAAUCAGCAAGGCUGUUUCCAGUGCUUUCUAACAAUGAUCCUCGGGACUGACUUACCUGUGAUGGGACAUGACAUUUUUGAACUAUCUUUCAGGUGUUGUGAGAUGACAAGUUCAAUUGUGCUCAAUUUAUGAACUUCAGCAAGUAGAAUUAUUGCAUGAAGAUUGCUGAGUGUGUGGGGUCAGAUGCUGGGAUAGAUUAUUGUACAUACUUGUCUCUUGUACCGCUGUGCCUUCAUAUAAAUUGUCCUGUCUUCCAGUUAAAUGCUAGCUCCCUUCUUCUGUCUUUUCUAGACUAUCACAGCAUGAAAUGAAGACAAUCCUGCCCUUUAUUUUUUUUUUUGCUGGUGGGGACAGAUUCUUACAUAAGAAGCCAAUCUUUACGUCACCAGCACUCUCUUAUAAGAUAAGAAAGGAUCAGUUUAUAAGCUUCUUAAAUUGUGAUUAGAUAAAAACUUGUAACUCUUGGAAGAUGCAGAGUUUUGAAUGUGGAACCUUUCCUAUUUUCAUGCUGGAGUUUCUAAACCUGCUGAAAGGGGAUGACAUUGAUGCCAGUGGAAACCUCAGUUGCACAGCAUGAGGGUAGCACGUUUUUAGAUUUGCUUUACCGAACAACUGAAGCAAAGACAGAAAGAGGAGAAAGAGAUCCUGUAUUUAUUAUUUUUUUAAUAAAUGAUUGAAUUUCUGAGAAUUUCACACAUUAGUUUUUAGAACAUUUGUUCCUAUGAAAAGCAGAAUGUGGUGAUUUUGUUUGUGUGCGUGCUUGAGAAUUUUAUGAAAAUAACAACCAAGUUAAUUCCUAAGUAGAAAUAGUUAUAUUUCUUCCCAAUAUAUGAGAUUGUUAAAGCUCUUAGAGCUUUGCACAAGGCAAGUGUUGCUUUUGAAGGUAAAUGGAAGCAUUUCUCAUAUUUUGUAAAACUUUCUGCGAAAGUCAAUUUAGAUCUUGUAGGAAAUAAUUAUUUCAGCUGUUUUCAGUUGUUCUAUUUUUAUUUAUUUUAAUGAGCUUUGUAAAAUAUCUUUUUUUUCACACACCCUAGGAUCUUACUUUAGCUUUUGUCUUCUUUACAUGUUAGACGUGUUUUGAAAUGUUAGUCUAGACAACUUUUGCCUUUCAGUUUACACAGCUGUAUUUUACUAUUAAGGUACAGGUAGACCUUUGUUCAGAGGAUGUCAACAGAAUACUGCUAAGAAAAAGAUAGCUACCAGAUAUUUCCCUCUAUUCAUUUUGUGAUACUGAAGGAAUACGGGAUUUUCUCUGCUUUUUCAUUUACCAGAAGGAGACUUAGGAGUUCAUAAAUAUACAAUAAAAAGAAAUGCAUGUUUGUGUAAACUACUGUACAGAUAUAGAAAAAAAAUUGAUUUUCUCAUUCAUUGUUUCUUAUUGUGCCUACAGCAUGAUAGAUGCUUGCAAAGACACGAGCUGUGUUUCUUCAUCUAGUUCAUAUUAAUCUCACUAACUGUAAAGCAUUUUAAAGAGCAAAACAUUGCAAAUUCACAUUGGUGUCAAAAUAUUGAGGAAGAAGAAAACAUGUAAAUUCUGUAAGUAGAGAAAUAGAGUUAUCAUCCAGUGUUUUUAUUUAUGCAUUCAAUCUGUAGAUUGUGAGUCUAUUUUAAAUUACUUUUGAAAGGUCAUGGUAACAGAGAGGUUCCUGAGGACUGGAGGAAAGCAAAUAUCACUCCUGACUUCAAUAAGAGCAAGAUAGACCUAUGGCACCAUAGGAUAGUCAGCCUUACCUUAUGGUGGGGAUGGUGGAGCAAAUCCUUCUGGAAACCAUUUCUAAGAAUAAAAUAGCAUUUGGGAUUAGUCAUCAUAGAUAAAGGGGAAAUUGUCUGACCAAUGAGGUAGCCUUGUAAAAUGGGAAGACUAGCUUGGUGGAUCAGGCAGUCAGUGCAGCACUAGAUGAUGCUUUCUGGCACAAUUUUUUCUUUUGAUUUCUUAAAUGGCUUGAUUUCAUUUCACAAAUUAUAAAAUCUCUUUACUAUUUACUCCAACUUAGCCACCUCACUUCAGGAAAGAAAAUCACGUCCCUGUACGAACAUCCAUUCUUUAUGGAACUCCUGGAUUUGGUGAUGAUUCAAUCUCUUAGAAUCCAUGAUAUUUACAGUUUUGAUGACAACGUAACCUGUAAUAUACAUGGAUUUCAAUUCAACUGAGUGUGUAGUGGGUGCAAGAGUUGAGGUUGUUAUUGCACUGCCCCCUCCCCUGCACACCAGUCAGUUGUCACCAGUGCAGUUUAUGCUUGGGUUAUGCACAAUCAACUCACAAAAUCAUCACUAAAAAUCACACAGUAGUGUUAAAAGUUUACGACUUCAUGGGGCUGCAUUACUAGCUGUCCAGGGUUGCAUGGGACCUAUGGGCUACAGGUUGGACAGAUGUGUCUUAUGGUCUGCAGUCUGUUGUCCUAACCCUCAGUGCUUUCUGAAAUGUUCAAUAUUGCACAUAGUAGGAAAAGGAAGGGGGGAGAGUGGGACAACACUAUGUGGACGACUGCUGCUAGAGCCAUUUCUCUUCCUUGGAUGAUUGCAUUAAGAAAUGACCACUUACAAAAUUGCUUAUACUUUGCAUGCCACAUUUCUUUCUUAACAAAACUUCAACAUAAAGUUCAGCAGUAUUUUUCCAUUAAAAGAUUUUCAGCAGCAGGUUGGGCUGUGGUCUGUGACAACGUUUGUUUUGUGUUCCUGCUUUGUUUGGGCCAAAGCCAGAUUAAUCUCUUAAAAGAAAAUAUUCAAGAUAUGGUAUGAACUUCUGCGAUUCAGUAUGUCAGGGCAAGUUCAUCCUCAUCAGAGCUAAAUUAAAAACAAACUGGUUGACUUACUGUGAGUCAGGCUGAAAGAAAAAAAAUAAAAUCUGGGCUUUGGAAAGCCAGCUGGCAGAAUAGACCAAUUUUUGGUUUGUAUUUCUAACAUUGGGCUUCAUCAAAGAAUGAUUACAUUGCUAUUUUUUUCAGUCAUUUAUGCAAGCUCUGUAGCACUGCAAGAUAUUCAGAUUUGAUCUAAGCAGAGAUGUAAGUAAUUGUGAGUUUCAGAUGAUCACUUAAAUUUCUAAUGUAUCUAAAGAGGAUGUGCAGUAGACAACAUCUCUGGAAGUUUAAUAUACAAAGUAUGUAUUGAUAGAUUGCUGAGAUUCAUAUUUUCAUUGCUGUAGAUUGCUGACUUUCUGAUGUGCCUUCAGAACACAUGCCAUACCCAUUACCCAUUCUGAUAGAUACCUUUAAGUUUGUAACUUUUGAAAACUAUUUCUUGUUCCACCUCAGGUUUGAGCUUCAGCACCUUCCAUCAUUUCAAUGGCACUGAGAUAAAUAUGAGGUCACUUGCUGCUGCUAUGACACAAGGAACACAGUGGUUGUGAGAAGGCUAAGAUGAGCCUAACUGGGAACAAGUGGAAAAAAUUGGAAAAAAUAUCCAUUUGGGUGCAUCCUGGAAGCUCCAUACAACCCUGACAGAGACUGCCCCAGGGGAGAGUACUUUAAGGAUACAGAAAGGAUCCAAAGGGCUUUUGGUUCAUCAGUGAUGGGAACAGAGAAGAUUCAAUAGCUGUCUGCCUUGCCUGAUCCCUCAGAGGACCCUUCCAUUCUGGGAUUGCCGCAGGUCAAAAGAGCAGCUGUUGUUGACUGCUACCAUGACAGUGCAGAAGCAGCAAUAUCGCACCAACCAAGUCUCCCUAUGUCCCAUCCAAGAGAGCAUUUCUUUACUGAAGAGCUGGGGAGUGAUCAACAAGAUUUGCUCACUCUUUAAUAGUCCCAUACAGCCAGUGAGAAAAUCAGAUGGAGAGUGGAGGCGAACAGUGGACUUUGCAGGUUUGCCCAUAGGCUAAAGGAAUGACACCUGGGUAGAAGGGAGUGGGGAUGGUUAAUGAUGUAUUGUGUGGUGUGGGAAUGGAGCAUGAAGUAGGUGGCACAGAAUAAGCGGUGAAGAUGCUAUUGGGUCUGGCAGGGUUGCAUUUUCAUCCUAGCAACCUGUGGAAUAUUUUGCUGAAUUAUUGAUUUGUGUCUUAAACAGUGUUGAUAACACGGGAAUAUAUUACCAAUUACUAAAUAGAGCCUAGAAAUUCUUACUUCCCUCACCCGUGAGUUAUGGUUACUUAGGACAACACAGUUGCUUUAAAUGAUUUUCUCAUCAAAAUCUGUAAAUUCCCUCAUUAUACAACUCUUGUUAAAUAACAAGUUUUAAGAUUCUGUGCAGCUCUGUGUAUAUUGUGAUCCACUGUAAAUCAAGGUGUUUCAAUUGCAUCAGUUAUAUAUGCAUCUUAAAACAACACUUUACCUGGUUUGCUGCCUAUCCUCCAAUUUCAGAAUGCAUGAACAACCUUGUCUCUUAAUUACUGUAUAAUACCUUAAUGUCAGCUACAGGCGUUAUUUCUGUGGAAAAAGUGGACUUAAAAUGUUAUUUCUGUAAUGUGACCAUGUACAGUCUGGAAAAAAUCUAACUGCUUUCUCUUUCCAUGUUCCUGUUUUCAUCCUGUCUCAAUUAUUUCUUUGUUCUUGUUCCUUUUCAUACACCCUUCUGUCAUUUGCUUUUCUUCUUUUGCAGAUGCAUGUAUUUCAGUGGUAUCUUCUCUCUCCUCUUGACUUGUAGCUGUCUUUCUCAUGCCAGAAGGUAUCCAGCUGCAGUUUGAACAUUUGCAUUAGGACAUAACCUACUUCCACAGAUGAUUCUGCUUCCAGAAGGCGUCUCGUGUUUUCCGUCAAUUUUUUUGUUUCAUGGUAAUAUUCUUAAUGGUAGUGACUAGACUUUUUUCUCAUAGAAGUCUGGGAGUGCUGUUGAUAAAAGAUGUAGAGCAUAUAGAAAUGGCUGAAAGCCGGCAGAGUCAGCAGUAGAAGAACUUUUUCCUGUCUCUUGCUGUGUAUUUCAGAAACUAUUGCUAUAAAAUCCAUUUUCUUUAAGCACAGGUGCUUUCUUCAUCUCUUAAUGAAAUGACUUCAUGUCUCUGAGCUUAUAUGGGGGAAUUUUUGCACAUUCUGGGUUGUCUUCUGCAGAAGUCUUCAUUCCCUACCAGAUGUUCAGAGUAGAAAAAGAGAUGGAAAUAUUUCUCUGGUACCAAUACCUCUGAACUAGAGAAUAUGAUGUAGAUUGCUGUGUCAUCAUUUAAGUUCAUUUAAUUCUUUGCUAAAAAAUCUCUUGUCAAGGGAAACCAAGAAUAUGUGUACAUAAUACAUGCCUUUAGCACUGAUUGUAUGUGAGAUGUCAGAAAAAGAAUCUACAGUCUCUUUUUUUUUUUCCUGUUCUUAUCAUCUCCCAGGGGGGAAGAAAAAUCAGUCCCUGGCAAGUCAGCAAAUAAGCACUCCGUGAUCAAUACCCAGAUUUCCGUUGCUGUAAAUCUGCUCACAGCAUGUAUGGGAGCCUUUCUUCAAGAAAGAAGAUGAAGGAUCAUGACAGUGGGAAUAAUAUAUUUGAAAAGUCAUGGAUUAAUUUUCAGUAUACUUGCUUUGUGGUUUUUUUUUCCCCUCAAGUUUCCUUGCUGCAUGCUGGGAUUGAGAAAGAAGCCUUGAUCUGAGGGGAUCACACACUGCCUGUGGUUAAUUCCUCAGAUUUCAGAGUAAAUGCAGUGGCUUUGCCAAGAUAGACUGCCCAGUUGAUCUCAGCUAGAAAACUGUAACAAGGGAAAAAAUAAAGGCAGUUUCGCCACCCUUAAGUGGACCUGCUUUCUGAGGAGAUAGGGCAUCUUGCACUGCUGUCAUCUGCAGUAUUUCAGUCCAUUUAAAUUUGCAAUUGAAGUUAGAUGAAAAUUUCAACAAAGACAGCAGUAUAGGAUGUUACAGUACAGAAAUGUGCUGAACCAACACAGUCAGUGACCUGCCUUAGACAAUGAGUGCUUUCUGGUCAGCUUGCGGUGAGCUGGUGUUUGGGGAAAUGCAGCCACCUACAGUGUCUCCUUGUAGGAGAGUGUGUGCACUGCAGUAUAUUCUUGUGUUGCUCCCUACUGAGUAUAUCAACAGUAGGAUCACGUGCUCUUCAAACACUUCUGCUGUUACAUCAAACUUCCAUCACCGAUCUCUGAUAACAUGGCCUUGAGCAGCUGCAGUGCUGGAGAAUACAUUUUGAUGCACCUUCUUUGAAUCAUAGAAUCCUUAGAUUUGGAAGGAACCUUUAAAGGUCAUUUAGUCCAACUCCCCUGCAAUGUAUGGGGACACGCACAGUAGAUCAUGUUGCCCAAUAUCUUAUUCCAGCCUUACCUUGAAAGUCUCCAAGGAUGGAACAUCAACACCACUGGGCAACCUGUUUCAGUGCCUCACCAUCCUCACUGUAAAAGAUUUUUCCAUUUUAUUCCAUCUAAAUCUGCCUUCUUCAGGCUUGUAGCCAUUUUCCUUUGAUCUGUCGCCACAGACCCUGCUGAAGAGUCUGUUCCCUUCUUUCCUGUAGCUCUCCUUUAGAUACUGAAAGGCCACAAUCAGGUCACCUCGCAGCCUUCUCUUCUCCUGGCUGAACAGCCCCAGCUCCCUCAACCUGUCCAUCCCUUGGAUCAUUUUUGUGGCUUUGGUGCUAUACAAACAGGCAACUGGAGAUAAUACACAUCAAGCAAUAUUCACUGUGACUGCCUCUGUAAGGAGUCCUAAAGUAUCAUGGCAUUGUUCAAAAGUAAAUAAAAGAUCACUUUAGAAGAAAACACCAGGAGAGAAAGAAACACGAGGCUGUCCAUUGAUUAAAGUUCAGAACAAUUUUGAAAUGACUGAAAAUGAUUACAAAGGCUAGAGACUGUUUAACAGAUUUAACCCCAAGCACUUCUAUUUAUCAUUUCUGGCUCGUAGAAUUAACUUCAUUUCAGAGGCAGUGACAGAUAGACUUCUUGAUUUAUGAUUUAUUUUGGCUGAGGCCUGAAAUAGCCUCUUAGAACCCUUGUAGCAGAAAUCUUUUGUAUUGACCUGAGGGAGAAUUGAUCUCCAACAGAAGGUAAAGCAAAUUCAUAGCGUUGCUGCAAAGUCACAUCUUACAAAAGAGUCUCAUCAAUCUUGAUGCCCUGUUUAAUUUUCUUUCUAAGAGAUCUAAUCUUUUUUGGAGAAAUGGCUGUUAAUAAGAUGUCAAAAAAAAACAAAACAACAACAAAAAAAAACCACCAAUAAGUUUGAAAAUGUUUUUAAAGUGGGAACUUGUUUUUCAAAACUUGCAUUUUCAUUCCAAGCUGGGACCAUAUUGGUGUUUAUACUUCUUAGUGUGACUUAAUCCUAGUUCUUAAUGGGAACUCAACCAAUUCAAGCCCAGACGACCUGAGAGGCAGCUGAUGUAUGUCAAAACAAGGUUCACUCUGUCAUCUUUCACAUGUUGUGGAGUACUUGGAAAGAUCCUCAUUAAAGGAAAGCAAAUAUUGCACUGUCUUCAGUACAAACUAAAAGGACAGCUAGAGGAGUAACAGACUGAUUAAACUCUCUUUGAUCUUUUGAAAACUCAUGAAUCAAGUCUUCUGUAUGAAGAUAUAAAUGGGAUAGUGUUACUAGCAUUUUUCUUUCAUUUAUGAGGAAAUGAGUUUUCUGAAUAGUACAGAUAUAUUAGUAGCUAAACCAAGCAUUGUUCCUUCCCAGAAUGCCAUACUUUAGAAACUCCAAAAUACCAGGACAAAUCAGCUUUGAUAUCAUUUUAGGAUGUCUCCUGAAUAUGAUUAAACAUCAACAGUCUAUCUGUAUCACAUUUGUUUUAUUUUUGAAGGAUUUUGCUGAAGCAAACAAACCAGGCAUGAUACUGGCCAUUGUAUAAAUAAAACUCGUAUACCUACUGCACAAAAGCAAUGAAACGUUUUUAGGUCUAUUUAUCUACAGUUAUUGCUUAUUUUUUGCUUGUUUGGU